rnacentral:rRNA from 1 species
UACGGGGGGGGCAAGCGUUGUUCGGAAUUGCUGGGCGUAAAGGGCUCGUAGGCGGCCAACUAAGUCGGAUGUGAAAUCCCCAGGCUUAACCUGGGAACUGCAUCCGAUACUGGAUGGCUUGAAUCCGGGAGAGGGAUGCAGAAUUCCAGGUGUAGCGGUGAAAUGCGUAGAUAUCUGGAGGAAUACCGGUGGCGAAGGCGGCAUCCUGGACCGGCAUUGACGCUGAUGAGCGAAAGCUAGGGGAGCAAACGGG